GGGCUGUUGGUCUAGCGGUAUGAUUCUCGCUUUGGGUGCGAGAGGUCCCGGGUUCAAUCCCCGGACAGCCCC